rnacentral:rRNA from 1 species
GAUGAACGCUGGCGGCGUGCCUAAUACAUGCAGGUCGAGCGAACAGAUGAGGAGCUUGCUCCUCUGACGUUAGCGGCGGACGGGUGAGUAACACGUGGAUAACCUACCUAUAAGACUGGGAUAACUUCGGGAAACCGGAGCUAAUACCGGAUAAUAUAUUGAACCGCAUGGUUCAAUAGUGAAAGACGGUUUUGCUGUCACUUAUAGAUGGAUCCGCGCCGCAUUAGCUAGUUGGUAAGGUAACGGCUUACCAAGGCAACGAUGCGUAGCCGACCUGAGAGGGUGAUCGGCCACACUGGAACUGAGACACGGUCCAGACUCCUACGGGAGGCAGCAGUAGGGAAUCUUCCGCAAUGGGCGAAAGCCUGACGGAGCAACGCCGCGUGAGUGAUGAAGGUCUUCGGAUCGUAAAACUCUGUUAUUAGGGAAGAACAAAUGUGUAAGUAACUAUGCACGUCUUGACGGUACCUAAUCAGAAAGCCCCGGCUAACUACGUG